AACGUAGGAGACAAACGUUAUCCGGAGUUACUGGGCGUAAAGGGCGUGUAGGUGGUUUCGUAAGUCUGGCGUGAAAUUUUUCGGCUUAACCGGGAAAGGUCGUCGGAUACUGCGGGACUGGAGGACGGUAGAGGCGUGUGGAAUUCCGGGUGUAGUGGUGAAAUGCGUAGAGAUCCGGAGGAACACCAGUGGCGAAGGCGACACGCUGGGCCGUACCUGACACUGAUGCGCGACAGCAUGGGGGAGCAAACAGG
rnacentral:rRNA from 1 species